ensembl:lncRNA B3GALT5-AS1 B3GALT5 antisense RNA 1
GCAAGGCGUGGGGCGCUAUGGGACUGCGCAGUGACGACCCAGUGAAGUAGAUGCCUUGACGAUUCCCAUUUCACGGAUGAGACGACUCCGGCACAGAGAAGUCAGAGGGCCUGUCCUGGGUCACACAGCCACAGGCGGCCCCCAGAACGGGACUUCAGGGUGCACCACUGCACCCCAGCAGAGACCUCCGCCUGGCACACAGGGAAUGCUGGAGCAAUACUUAAAUAGGGGAGGUCAGAAAUCUCACGGGCUCUGCUGGCUUCUGUGCUUCGUCUCUCAAGGCCAAAAUCAAGAUGUCAUCAGUGCUGAGCUCUGGUGCAGGAUCCACGUCCAGGCUCACUGGGGCUGCUGGCAGAAUUCAGCUGUGUGGGGUUGUAGGAAUGAAGUCCUUGUUUCCUUGCUGGCUGUUGGCCAGGGGCUGCCCUCAGCUUCUGGAGGCCGCCUGCCCUCCCUGGUUCAUGGCCCAUCUCAUCCUGACAGCCAGCACCCGCGGGAAGUCCCUCUUGCACUGUGACUCUCUCCCGCCUCUUCCAUUCUCUAUGGCUUGUCUGCCUCCCUCUUUCAUCUUUAAGAGUGCAUGUGAGUAUAUUGGACCUACCUGAAUCAGCCAGGCUAACCUCCCCAUUUUAAGGUCUGCAGCCUUAAUUCUACCUGCAAAGUCCCUUUUGCCAUGUAAUGUGCCAUAUUCACAGGUGUCAGGAAUCAGAGGGCAGGUAUAUUGGGGGACCAUUAUUCUGCCAACUACACAGGGCCUUAUAUGGUCUGGCUCUGUGUCCCCAUUCAAAUCUCAUCUUGAAUUGUAAUCCGAAUUGUAACCCCCACGUGUUGGGGGGAGGGACCUUGUGGGAGGUAAUUAAAUCAUGGGGGCGGUUACCCUCAUGCUGUUCUUGUGAUAGUGAGUGAGUUCUCACGAGAUCUGAAGGUUUUGCAAGGAGCUUUUCCCCCUUUUGCUCAGGACUCUCCUUCCUGCAGCCAAGUGAAGGACAAGUUUGCUUCCCCUUCCACAAUGAUUGUAAGUUUCUUGAGGCCUCUCCAGAACUAUGAGUCAAUUAAACCUCUUUCCUUUAUAAA